rnacentral:rRNA from 1 species
UACGUAGGAUCCAAGCGUUGUCCGGAUUUACUGGGUGUAAAGGGUGCGCAGGCGGACUGGUUAGUCUGGGGUGAAAUCUCAUCGCUUAACGGUGAAACUGCCUUAGAUACUGCCAGUCUUGAAUCAGCGAGAGGUUCGUGGAAUUCCGAGUGUAGCAGUGAAAUGUGUAGAUAUUCGGAAGAACACCAGUGGCGAAGGCAGCGAACUGGCGCUCGAUUGACGCUCAGGCACGAAAGCAUGGGGAUCAAACAGG